rnacentral:rRNA from 1 species
GAUGAACGCUGGCGGCGUGCCUAAUACAUGCAAGUAGAACGCUGAAGGAAGGAGCUUGCUCUUUCCGGAUGAGUUGCGAACGGGUGAGUAACGCGUAGGUAACCUGCCUGGUAGCGGGGGAUAACUAUUGGAAACGAUAGCUAAUACCGCAUAACAGUAGAUGUUGCAUGAUAUCUACUUAAAAGGUGCAAUUGCACCACUACCAGAUGGACCUGCGUUGUAUUAGCUAGUUGGUGAGGUAACGGCUCACCAAGGCGACGAUACAUAGCCGACCUGAGAGGGUGAUCGGCCACAAUGGGACGGAGACACGGCCCAGACUCCUACGGGAGGCAGCAGUAGGGAAUCUUCGGCAAUGGACGGAAGUCUGACCGAGCAACGCCGCGUGAGUGAAGAAGGUUUUCGGAUCGUAAAGCUCUGUUGUAAGAGAAGAACGAGUGUGAGAGUGGAAAGUUCACACUGUGACGGUAUCUUACCAGAAAGGGACGGCUAACUACGUG